UCAUCCCCUCUAACCCAAUGUGCAUUCACACGGGCCUAAGAUCCGGAUUAGUGACCCGCAUAUUUUUUUUUCCGACAAUCUCUUUUCUCUAUGAAAACACAAUUGGGUUUUUUCUUCAUCGUCAUCACCAGAAACCCUAAUUUAACACUUCCAUGCCUCCUUUCCAUUAUAUACUUGAGUUUUUUUUUUUCAGCAUCAAAUUCUCUUUUUCUUGAUCUUCGUUUGAAAGCAAGCCCAAUGGGAAUAGCUGCUGGAAGUUCUAAUGGAUUCUCACAAACACUAAUUCUAAAAGGUUAGUAUUCGAUUUCUUGUAAAGUAUUGUUUUCAUGGUGCCACAAACCCUAAUCGUUGCAUACGGCUAUUUCAAUCCUAUCUGAUCAAGAUUCGUCUUUAAUUUGAUUAAUUCAAACGUUUGUGCCACAAACCCUAAUCGUUGCAUACGGACAACAAAUCUGCCCUUGAAACAAUACACAAGGAAAUGUACAGAAUAGAAGGUCAGAUGGAGGAAGUUUAGGACCCGAAGUACGUUUGCGUGAAAGGCGACAUCAACUUCUCGAUCAGAGAUGGAUGAUGACAUAGUGAAUAUAUGGAAUCUCAGAGGCUCAAAAAGUGUAGUGCUGCUGCCUUGGAUAUGAUCUCUAAUGUGUUUGGGGACCAAUUUGGAUGGAAAGAUUUAACAUAGGCAGCCGUCCCUGCAACAUGUGGACAAGCCAUAGAAGUUCCAGACAUUAUGGUAAAUUUUGAGUACUGUGUAUCGCCUUGUAGCCCAGUGAGUGUAUGUAGAGGGGUAUAGGCUGCCAAGAUGUCAACUCCUGGUGCUGCAAUAUCUGGCUGUUUAAUGGGACAAAUGACUCGGUGGAGGGCCAAAUCCAUUGUCAUUAAAGCUUUCAGAUUGCGGGGUUAUUCCUGGUACAUUAAAAUCCAAAACUUUAUAAAACCACCAUUAGGGAAACAAAGUUGACACGCUAUAUUGAAAUAUUGUGUACCUGUAUCC